UGAGACUAAUGCGUAGGCCUGUCACCACAACACAUUUUGCUGGACGGUAAAUUGUCCCAGAAAUUAUUGCGAUUAACGAUAAUAUUGUCGUUCUGAGACCAUUUUCAUCUAAUA